rnacentral:rRNA from 1 species
UACGGAGGGUGCGAGCGUUGUUCGGAAUCACUGGGCGUAAAGCGCGUGUAGGCGGCCCACUAAGUCUGAUGUGAAAGCCCGGGGCUCACCCCCGGAAGUGCAUUGGAAACUGGUGGACUCGAGUCCCGGAGAGGAGAGUGGAAUUCCUGGUGUAGCGGUGAAAUGCGUAGAUAUCAGGAGGAACACCGGUGGUGAAGGCGGCUCUCUGGACGGUGACUGACGCUGAGACGCGAAAGCGUGGGGAGCAAACAGG